AAAUGUGUAAAGAUCUGCUUUUGUUCCCUACACUCACCCACUCCAAACAUUAACCUCAUACCAACCUCCCACUGCACACAAGGGCCACAGGAAGCCUAGACAACACAGAAGAGCUAAAGGAAGUGAUAGGCUCCAGCUUGGGCCACAGGGUGGCCCCAUAGCCUAUCCAGUGUAUCCUGAGCAGCCAAUCACCAAGAAAACAAAGGCACUGUUCUACGCCCUAUGGACACAGCAGUGAAGAAAACAGACAAAUCCUUUGCUCUGGUAAAGCUUCAUGAAGGAGAACAACAGUAAACAGUAGAUGGAAUCUAUGCUGUGCCUUACGGUGCAGAGAGAGUAUCGCAGCUGGUAAGCUUGUACAGCACACAAACAGUGAGUCUGAGCUGGACACAUUCCUUCCCGUGGCUGCUGCUCAGAAGUUCUGACAUCUGAGACCACAGUGAGAAGCUUGGUGAGAAUUCUACCUGCCCAUUUGCUUGGCCCUUUGCAGGUAUCGAGUUAGGGGCAUGGCAGGCCCUUCUCUCAUCCCGCUGGCACCUGUGUACCAAGCACCUCCUCUGCAUCUGGCACUGCCCCGUUUUCUCUGGUAGUGAAGCCUUUCCCUGGUUUUAUAGCCUUAGGUCAUUUCAGUGGGAGUUUAUGAGGCAGAAGAAUUAAACAAAUUCAUCUUGCCAUCUCUAACCUGAGUUCAGACAAACACGGUAACUGGUAAUCAAGAGAGGUAGCUCCUAAGCCCUUGUGUUACUUUCCAUGAUUCCAGUUACCUGAAAAAAUAAAGAAAAACAUUCCAGAAAUAAAUAAUUCAUUAAUGCUUUUAUAAUACCAUGCCAUAUUAUUAGUUAUUAUUGCUAAUUUCAGUGAGCUUAACUUUAGAUCCAACUCCAUCUUGGAUAUUCAUACAUAGGAGAAAAAAAAGUAGAUACAGAGUGUAGUGCUAUCCGCUGUUUUAGGAAUUCAUGGGUGUCUUGGGACACAUCCCCUGGGGAACAGGAACUAUUGUAGACAGCUAUGUUGCCUUGUGGACAUUGAGAAGCUGGAGUUUGUCUGGGGACAGAUCUGUCAGUAAAGAAUGUGCUGAAGAAGGGCUCCAAAUCCCUGC